GUGUGAAAUUUGGGCAAUCAUCUUUUGGUACUAACCUGAAAUGAAAAGAAUACUCACUGCUAAUUCUCAC